rnacentral:rRNA from 1 species
ACUCCUACGGGAGGCAGCAGUGGGGAAUAUUGCACAAUGGGGGAAACCCUGAUGCAGCCAUGCCGCGUGUGUGAAGAAGGCCUUCGGGUUGUAAAGCACUUUCAGUAGGGAGGAAGGUAGUGUAGUUAACACCUGCAUUAUUUGACGUUACCUACAGAAGAAGCACCGGCUAACUCCGUGCCAGCAGCCGCGGUAAUACGGAGGGUGCGAGCGUUAAUCGGAAUUACUGGGCGUAAAGCGCAUGCAGGCGGCCUGUUAAGUCAGAUGUGAAAGCCCGGGGCUUAACCUCGGAAUUGCAUUUGAAACUGGCAGACUAGAGUACUGUAGAGGGGGGUAGAAUUUCAGGUGUAGCGGUGAAAUGCGUAGAGAUCUGAAGGAAUACCGGUGGCGAAGGCGGCCCCCUGGACAGAUACUGACACUCAGAUGCGAAAGCGUGGGGAGCAAACA